rnacentral:rRNA from 1 species
GGAAUAUUGGUCAAUGGGGGCAACCCUGAACCAGCCAUGCCGCGUGCAGGAAGACGGCCCUCGGGUUGUAAACUGCUUUUAUACGGGAAUAAAUCACGCUACGUGUAGGGUGUUGAAUGUACUGUAAGAAUAAGGAUCGGCUAACUCCGUGCCAGCAGCCGCGGUAAUACGGAGGAUCCAAGCGUUAUCCGGAUUUAUUGGGUUUAAAGGGUGCGUAGGCGGCCUAUUAAGUCAGGGGUGAAAGACGGUGGCUCAACCAUCGCAGUGCCCUUGAUACUGAUGGGCUUGAUUACACUUGAGGUAGGCGGAAUGUGACAAGUAGCGGUGAAAUGCAUAGAUAUGUCACAGAACACCAAUUGCGAAGGCAGCUUACUAAGGUGUUAAUGACGCUGAGGCACGAAAGCGUGGGGAUCAAACAGGAUUAGAUACCCUGGUAGUCCACGCCCUAAACGAUGAAUACUCGAUGUUAGCGAUAUACAGUUAGCGUCAAAGCGAAAGCGUUAAGUAUUCCACCUGGGGAGUACGCCCGCAAGGGUGAAACUCAAAGGAAUUGACGG